AUACGUAGGUUGCAAGCGUUGUCCGGAUUUACUGGGUGUAAAGGGCGUGUAGGCGGAGGAGCAAGUCAGAUGUGAAAUCCAUGGGCUUAACCCAUGAACUGCAUUUGAAACUGUUCCCCUUGAGUAUCGGAGAGGCAAGCGGAAUUCCUAGUGUAGCGGUGAAAUGCGUAGAUAUUAGGAGGAACACCAGUGGCGAAGGCGGCUUGCUGGACGACAACUGACGCUGAGGCGCGAAAGCGUGGGGAGC
rnacentral:rRNA from 1 species